UACCACGUACGAUACAGCAGAGGGAAGACGCAAAAAAUUGGGUUCCGUAUGAAUUAACUAAUGUUUGUUUCAAAAGUUCCACCCCCACCACUUAGAUAAAAGACAUACUCCUAAAAUGUAGUUAAUAUAUGUGUUAAAUGUUAUAUUAUGUUAUAUUAUGUUGUUCGUUUUUCUGCUGUUUUUUGUUCUAUUUUUCAGGUUGAAAUGACUGUAGCUUAUUCCGAUUGUAAUCCCAAUCCUUCGUCACGGCUUCAGACAAAGAUUCCGACCAUUGUAAUCCCAAUCCUUCGUCACGGCUUCAGACAAAGACUCCGACCAUUGUAAUCCCAAUCCUUCGUCACGGCUUAAGACAAAGACUCCGACCAUUUAAUGGCGAAAAUAGCGACACAACAUCUACAAAUAUAUUAUGCUUCUAAUGGAAUUAUGUAUCCGCUGAGCUUCUGUUUCCCAGGGCCAGCAUCCGAUAUAUUUUGGAAGCAAUAAUGUUAAU
rnacentral:lncRNA from 1 species